GGAAACAUUGGGACACUAUAUUUUGCUUAAUAUGCAUGGGUAAAUAUGCUCUAAACAUUAUAUUUUAUACGGUUACGGCUCAGUACAACACUGUUGUUUAUGCGUAAUAUUCGUAGUAGGUAGGUAGGUAAAUAGGUUGUAUUUUAUGUCUGAACCUAAAACGUGAUGUAUUUGUAAGUAAGUUUUAUGAAAAUCGAAAACUAGGUCAGUCGCAGAUCCAAAACAAAUACUUGAGGAAGUGGGGAGACCAUGAUGCUCAGGGGUGAAAUGAAAAAUAUGUACGGCUUACGAAAUAUACAAAAGUCUAUUAUUAAUUAAUAUUAGAGUCGUAACUAUAGACUAUCGUCUUAGAAUAUUUAGAAUUUAGAUAUUGUGCAUAAUUGUGUACACCAGUAGG